UGUGAUGUGUUUGAUUUUAGUUAUUCUGUCAGCAUUACUGACAAUUUUAUUAGACUUAGGGCACGUUUGGUUCGCACUAUGAAAAAUUAUUAGGAGUAAAAAGAUAUUCGAUAAUCUUAUUUCUAUUCAUUCUAUUAUUAAGAAUGUGGCGUUCAUGUGUUUGGUUCGCACGGUCAUAUUAUUUAGUCAUGUUAUUUAAGUUUACAAAAAAUAUACAAUUAAUUAAUUUAUUUCUUUAAUUAAUUUUAGAUAAUGCUAUCAAAAAUUUCAACAUCUUUUUAAAAAAAAUGAAGAAAAAAUAUAGGUUAGAGAGAGAGAGAGAGCAUAAUUAAAUAAUAGGAAGAGAAAUAGAGUCGAGAUUAGAGAGAGUGAGGGAGUUGAAAUUUUAGAAAAAGAGAGGGAGAGAGAGCUUAGUUUAGAGAGAGAAAAAGAGUUGAAGGUUAGAGAGAAAAAAAUAAGUUUAGAGAGAGAUAUGAGGUUAGAGUGUAAAAGAUAAUAAUACUAACUAGCCGGCGGGUAGGGAGAAAGAAAGAUAUUAGACAUAUUAUGAUUACUCAAUUUAUUAAUAUGAGCAUACCCACUCUCCCGCAAGGGAAUGAGAUUAGUACUUUGGGAUGAAUCUGAUUCCCAAGUGAAUCUAAUAUUAUCAACUAGAUUACUUAGUGCCUUUAGCCAAACACCGUCAUAUCUUUUUAUUCCCAUUGCAUUACUAGGAAUCUUAAAAAGAUAGCGCGAACCAAACGCAUCCUUAUUGUAAAUCAGUUUGUAAUCUGAUCGUUAAUGUAGCAUUACAAAUAGUACAAGAUUAUUUCGAAAAUAUUAUCGAACAAGGAUGAGUAUCUUGUUUUAUUGACAAUAGAUUAUUUUACGUGUUAUGUCGGAAUAA
rnacentral:lncRNA from 1 species